CUGCGACCUAGUCGCCCUCACAGACGCCUCUUCCGCUAGCUGCGCGCCCGCCUCGCAGCCACCGCCCCCUAAGUCGCUGCCGUCCUCGGUGCCGUCCUCGGUGUCGUCCUCGCUGCCGCCGCCGCCGCCGCGGCGCGCGUCCGAUUUCACGCACACCGCCGUGGCCGCGCACGCGCCUCUGCGCGCUGGCGUCACUUAGCAACCGACAGUUCUCGGGUGGGCUAACCGCCAGGGUUUAGGCCCCCAGGGGCCUCGGGCGGACUCUGCGGCUUUCCUCCACCGCCCAGACCCGCUGCCCCGGCUGAGCAAGGCCCCCCAGGGUGUGGCUACCCUGCGGGCACCUGGCUCCGGGUAAGUCACGUCACCACACGUCACUGUAUAGCGUCACCGGUGCGCGUCACUGCGGAGGGGAAGGUCCAGGGCACCUGUGGACUGAGCGAUGGCCUCGUCGGGACCGGCGCGGACCGGAUCGGCAAGUUCUUCCAGAUGCUGGAAAGUUCUCCAAGAGUGGGACCCGAAGGGGCUGAGUGACAUUCGUUAACUUAGCAGCAGGGUGUGAUGGCCCGAGCCUUGAAUUGCCAUGCCUCAGAGUCCUCGUUCUUGUGAAGACACAGCAAGAAGUUGCCUAUCUACAAGCCAGGAAAGGGAUCCUCACCUAGCCCUGGGUCUGCUUGCUGGUGCUUUAUCAUGGACCUCUCAGCCUCCUAAACUGUGAGAAAUAAAUGUUUGUUGUUUAA